AACGAACGCUGGCGGCAGGCUUAACACAUGCAAGUCGAACGCACCUUUCGGGGUGAGUGGCAGACGGGUGAGUAACGCGUGGGAAUCUACCCUUCUCUACGGGAUAGCUCCGGGAAACUGGAAUUAAUACCGUAUACGUCCUGAGGGAGAAAGAUUUAUCGGGGAAGGAUGAGCCCGCGUUGGAUUAGCUAGUUGGUGGGGUAAAGGCCUACCAAGGCGACGAUCCAUAGCUGGUCUAAGAGGAUGAUCAGCCACAUUGGGACUGAGACACGGCCCAAACUCCUACGGGAGGCAGCAGUGGGGAAUAUUGGACAAUGGGCGCAAGCCUGAUCCAGCCAUGCCGCGUGAGUGAUGAAGGCCCUAGGGUUGUAAAGCUCUUUCAGUGGGGACGAUAAUGACGGUACCCACAGAAGAAGCCCCGGCUAGCUUCGUG
rnacentral:rRNA from 1 species